GGAAGGGUGGGAACCGCUUUUGGAAGAGCGUUGGGCUGGGAUUCAAGACUCCCAGAGAUGCCAUUGAAGGGACAUACAUUGAUAAGAAAUGCCCAUUCACUGGCAGUGUUUCAAUCCGAGGCCGAAUCCUUGCUGGCACCUGUCACAGUGCUAAGAUGAACCGAACUAUCAUUGUUCGGCGGAACUACCUCCACUAUGUUAAGAAGUACCAAAGGUAUGAGAAGCGGCAUUCCAAUAUUCCUGCCCACUGUUCCCCCUGUUUUCGUGUGAAGGAAGGGGAUCAUGUCAUCAUAGGCCAAUGCAGGCCUUUGGCAAAGACUGUUCGAUUUAAUGUGUUGAAGGUCGUUCCUGCGGGAUCAACUGGUGGAGGCAAGAAGGCUUUUACUGUAGUUUAAGUUGCUUUAAAAUGUUGUGGUUCAAAGGUUAUCCGAACAUUAUAGAUGUGGAUUUUGAUUUGGCGGCUAGUAUUAUGUAAUCGUUUUGUUUCGACACUGGUUUAGUACACCAGUGUUUUGGUUCUCAGUUCUGAUUUUAUCGAAGAUAUUUU
rnacentral:misc_RNA from 1 species